AGCCAGACCUGACUGCUAUCGGAUUGAUACUAAGCCAUGCGAGUCUUUGCAGUAAUGCAAGGCAUACGGCUCAGUAACACGUAGUCAACUUACCCUAUGGACGAGGAUAAUCUCGGGAAACUGAGCAUAAUACUCGAUAGAUCAUAAUGCCUGGAAUGGUUUAUGGUUGAAAUGAUUCGUCGCCAUAGGAUGGGACUGCGGCCUAUCAGCUUGUUGGUGAGGUAAUGGCCCACCAAGGCGAUUACAGGUACGGGCUCUGAGAGGAGAAGCCCGGAGAUGGGUACUGAGACAAGGACCCAGGCCCUAUGGGGCGCAGCAGGCGAGAAAACUUUGCAAUGUGCGAAAGCACGACAAGGUUAAUCCGAGUGAUUUCUGCUAAAGAAAUCUUUUGCAAGUCAUAAAACCACUAGUGAAUAAGGGGUGGGCAAGUUCUGGUGUCAGCCGCCGCGGUAAAACCAGCACCUCAAGUGGUCAGGAGGAUUAUUGGGCCUAAAGCAUCCGUAGCCGGCUCUGUAAGUUUUCGGUUAAAUCCAUGUGCUCAACGCAUGGGCUGCCGAAAAUACUGCAUAGCUAGGGAGUGGGAGAGGUAGACGGUACUCGGUAGGAAGGGGUAAAAUCCUUUGAUCUAUCGAUGACCACCUGUGGCGAAGGCGGUCUACCAGAACACGUUCGACGGUGAGGGAUGAAAGCUGGGGGAGCAAACCGGAUUAGAUACCCGGGUAGUCCCAGCUGUAAACGAUGCAGACUCGAUGAUGCAUUGGCAUAUAGCCAGUGCAGUGUCGCAGGGAAGCCGUUAAGUCUGCCGCCUGGGAAGUACGUACGCAAGUAUGAAACUUAAAGGAAUUGGCGGGGGAGCACCACAAGGGGUGAAGCCUGCGGUUCAAUUGGAUUCAACGCCGGGA
rnacentral:rRNA from 1 species